rnacentral:rRNA from 1 species
AUUGAACGCUGGCGGCAGGCAUAACACAUGCAAGUCGAACGAGUGGCGGACGGGUGAGUAAUGUCUGGGAAACUGCCUGAUGGAGGGGGAUAACUACUGAAAACGGUAGCUAAUACCGCAUACAAUCCGAUGUGCCCAGAUGGGAUUAGCUGGUUGGUGGGGUAACGGCUAACCAAGGCGACACUCCUUAGCUGGUCUGCGAGGAUGACCAGCCAAACUGUAACAGAGACAGUGUCCAGACUCCUACGUGAGGCAGCAGUGGGAAAUAUUCCACAAUGGGCGCAAACCGGAUGCAGCCAUGAGGGGUGUAUGAAGAAGGCCUUGGGGUCGUAAGGUACUGUAAUCGGGGAGGCGUUACUCGCAGAAGAAGCUCCCGGUAAGUCCGUGCCAGAAGCCGCGGUAAUUA